rnacentral:lncRNA from 1 species
AUCCAAGAAAUUUUCCUUCUUGUACUCCGAAACUGCAUUUGGCAGGGUUUAACCUCAUCCCAUAACUCUGCAGAGUUUUCAGGGUUUCUUUCAGAUCAUUUGGGUGUUCAUCUGCUUUCUUGGAUUUCCUGCGGUCUGACUGAUAUGUAGGGGAAACCAUGCUGAGUCAUGAUAUAGUGACUCAUCCUGAUUUUGAUUUGUGAUGUGGUAGGGUG